AGUUCCUAUAAAAUUAGUUAAUUUAAAAGUAUUCACAAAUCCUAAAAACAUAAAAUCAUGUGGUUUAUGUUCUCAACACAAUCCUUCUCACCGUUGAUGCAAAUUAUUGUUAACGAAGGUUGGCGAACUCAAGUAGCUUUGUAAGAAGGUUGGUGUGGUCCUUAAAGUCGGUCGGUCCUUGAAAGUUGUGGUCUUUGGUGUUUUGUGUUUCAGAUAGGAGAUGGGUUUGUUUAAGAUGGUAUUUUACACUAAGGAUUGUUUUGUAAAAGACUCCACCUUAAGAUAUGAGGGUGGGGAUAGACAUGCAUACAAUGGACAAGACAAUGAUUAUUGGUCCUCCUUUAAACCACAAGAUCUAACUAAGGUUAUGGAUUCAGACUUCAAUCUUGU